GAUGAAGGACGUUACUAACGACGAUAUGCUUUGGGGAGCUGUAAGUAAGCUUUGAUCCAGAGAUUUCCGAAUGGGGAAACCCAGCAUGAGUUAUGUCAUGUUAUCGAUAUGUGAAUACAUAGCAUAUCAGAAGGCACACCCGGAGAACUGAAACAUCUUAGUACCCGGAGGAAGAGAAAGAAAAUUCGAUUCCCUUAGUAGCGGCGAGCGAAACGGGAAGAGCCCAAACCAAAAAGCUUGCUUGUUGGGGUUGUAGGACACUCUAUACGGAGUUACAAAGGACGACAUUAGACGAAUCAUCUGGAAAGAUGAAUCAAAGAAGGUAAUAAUCCUGUAGUCGAAAAUGUUGUCUCUCUUGAGUGGAUCCUGAGUACGACGGAGCACGUGAAAUUCCGUCGGAAUCUGGGAGGACCAUCUCCUAAGGCUAAAUACUCUCUAGUGACCGAUAGUGAACCAGUACCGUGAGGGAAAGGUGAAAAGCACCCCGGAAGGGGAGUGAAAUAGAACCUGAAACCGUGUGCUUACAAGUAGUCAGAGCCCGUUAAUGGGUGAUGGCGUGCCUUUUGUAGAAUGAACCGGCGAGUUACGAUUUGAUGCAAGGUUAAGCAGUAAAUGUGGAGCCGUAGCGAAAGCGAGUCUGAAUAGGGCGUUUAGUAUUUGGUCGUAGACCCGAAACCAGGUGAUCUACCCUUGGUCAGGUUGAAGUUCAGGUAACACUGAAUGGAGGACCGAACCGACUUACGUUGAAAAGUGAGCGGAUGAACUGAGGGUAGCGGAGAAAUUCCAAUCGAACCUGGAGAUAGCUGGUUCUCUCCGAAAUAGCUUUAGGGCUAGCCUCAAGUGAUGAUUAUUGGAGGUAGAGCACUGUUUGGACGAGGGGCCCCUCUCGGGUUACCGAAUUCAGACAAACUCCGAAUGCCAAUUAAUUUAACUUGGGAGUCAGAACAUGGGUGAUAAGGUCCGUGUUCGAAAGGGAAACAGCCCAGACCACCAGCUAAGGUCCCAAAAUAUAUGUUAAGUGGAAAAGGAUGUGGCGUUGCCCAGACAACUAGGAUGUUGGCUUAGAAGCAGCCAUCAUUUAAAGAGUGCGUAAUAGCUCACUAGUCGAGUGACACUGCGCCGAAAAUGUACCGGGGCUAAACAUAUUACCGAAGCUGUGGAUUGUCCUUUGGACAAUGGUAGGAGAGCGUUCUAAGGGCGUUGAAGCAUGAUCGUAAGGACAUGUGGAGCGCUUAGAAGUGAGAAUGCCGGUGUGAGUAGCGAAAGACGGGUGAGAAUCCCGUCCACCGAUUGACUAAGGUUUCCAGAGGAAGGCUCGUCCGCUCUGGGUUAGUCGGGUCCUAAGCUGAGGCCGACAGGCGUAGGCGAUGGAUAACAGGUUGAUAUUCCUGUACCACCUAUAAUCGUUUUAAUCGAUGGGGGGACGCAGUAGGAUAGGCGAAGCGUGCGAUUGGAUUGCACGUCUAAGCAGUAAGGCUGAGUAUUAGGCAAAUCCGGUACUCGUUAAGGCUGAGCUGUGAUGGGGAGAAGACAUUGAGUCUUCGAGUCGUUGAUUUCACACUGCCGAGAAAAGCCUCUAGAUAGAAAAUAGGUGCCCGUACCGCAAACCGACACAGGUAGUCAAGAUGAGAAUUCUAAGGUGAGCGAGCGAACUCUCGUUAAGGAACUCGGCAAAAUGACCCCGUAACUUCGGGAGAAGGGGUGCUCUUUAGGGUUAACGCCCAGAAGAGCCGCAGUGAAUAGGCCCAAGCGACUGUUUAUCAAAAACACAGGUCUCUGCUAAACCGUAAGGUGAUGUAUAGGGGCUGACGCCUGCCCGGUGCUGGAAGGUUAAGAGGAGUGGUUAGCUUCUGCGAAGCUACGAAUCGAAGCCCCAGUAAACGGCGGCCGUAACUAUAACGGUCCUAAGGUAGCGAAAUUCCUUGUCGGGUAAGUUCCGACCCGCACGAAAGGCGUAACGAUUUGGGCACUGUCUCAACGAGAGACUCGGUGAAAUCAUAGUACCUGUGAAGAUGCAGGUUACCCGCGACAGGACGGAAAGACCCCGUGGAGCUUUACUGUAGCCUGAUAUUGAAAUUCGGCACAGCUUGUACAGGAUAGGUAGGAGCCUUUGAAACGUGAGCGCUAGCUUACGUGGAGGCGCUGGUGGGAUACUACCCUAGCUGUGUUGGCUUUCUAACCCGCACCACUUAUCGUGGUGGGAGACAGUGUCAGGCGGGCAGUUUGACUGGGGCGGUCGCCUCCUAAAAGG
rnacentral:rRNA from 1 species